AGAGUUUGAUCCUGGCUCAGGAUGAACGCUAGCUACAGGCUUAACACAUGCAAGUCGAGGGGCAGCAUGAACUUAGCUUGCUAAGUUUGAUGGCGACCGGCGCACGGGUGAGUAACGCGUAUCCAACCUUCCCCCUGGUAGGGCAUAGCCCGGCGAAAGUCGGAUUAAUACCCUAUGUUCUCCUUCGAGAGCAUUUGACGAGGAGCAAAGAUUUAUCGCCAUGGGAUGGGGAUGCGUCCGAUUAGGUUGACGGCGGGGUGACGGCCCACCGUGCCCGCGAUCGGUAGGGGUUCUGAGAGGAAGGUCCCCCACAUUGGAACUGAGACACGGUCCAAACUCCUACGGGAGGCAGCAGUGAGGAAUAUUGGUCAAUGGGCGAGAGCCUGAACCAGCCAAGUAGCGUGCGGGACGACGGCCCUAUGGGUUGUAAACCGCUUUUGCAGGGGAAUAAAGUGCGGGACGUGUCCCGUUUUGCAUGUACCCUGAGAAUAAGGACCGGCUAAUUCCGUGCCAGCAGCCGCGGUAAUACGGAAGGUCCGGGCGUUAUCCGGAUUUAUUGGGUUUAAAGGGAGCGCAGGCGGGGGCUUAAGCGUGACGUGAAAUGCCGCGGCUCAACCGUGGAAGUGCGUCGCGAACUGGGUCUCUUGAGUGAGUGCGACGCCGGCGGAAUUCGUGGUGUAGCGGUGAAAUGCUUAGAUAUCACGAAGAACCCCGAUUGCGUAGGCAGCCUACCAGGCCGCAAAUGACGCUCAUGCACGAAAGUGCGGGGAUCGAACAGGAUUAGAUACCCUGGUAGUCCGCACAGUAAACGAUGAAUACUUGCUUUCGGCGAUAUACAGUCGGAGGCAAAGCGAAAGCGAUAAGUAUUCCACCUGGGGAGUACGCCGGCAACGGUGAAACUCAAAGGAAUUGACGGGGGCCCGCACAAGCGGAGGAACAUGUGGUUUAAUUCGAUGCUACGCGAGGAACCUUACCCGGGCUUGAAAGUUACCGACGGACCGAGAAAUCGGUCUUCCCUUCGGGGCGGGAAACUAGGUGCUGCAUGGUUGUCGUCAGCUCGUGCCGUGAGGUGUCGGCUUAAGUGCCAUAACGAGCGCAACCCUUUUCUCCAGUUGCCAUCAUUUAGUUGGGGACUCUGGAGACACUGCCAUCGCAAGAUGUGAGGAAGGAUGGGAUGACGUCAAAUCAGCACGGCCCUUACGUCCGGGGCGACACACGUGUUACAAUGGGAAGGACAGAAAGCUGCGACUCGGCGACGAGGAGCCAAUCUCCAAACCUUCUCCCAGUUCGGAUCGGAGUCUGCAACCCGACUCCGUGAAGCUGGAUUCGCUAGUAAUCGCGCAUCAGCCAUGGCGCGGUGAAUACGUUCCCGGGCCUUGUACACACCGCCCGUCAAGCCAUGAAAGCCGAGGGUACCUGAAGUCUGGGGUAAGAUCCGGCCUAGGGUAAAAUUGGUGAUUGGGGCUAAGUCGUAACAAGGUA
rnacentral:rRNA from 1 species